GACGAACGCUGGCGGCGUGCUUAACACAUGCCAGUCGAACGGAAAGGCCCUGCUUGCAGGGUACUCGAGUGGCGAACGGGUGAGUAACACGUGGGUUAUCUGCCCUGCACUUCGGGAUAAGCCUGGGAAACUGGGUCUAAUACCGGAUAGGAGCCAUUUUUAGUGUGAUGGUUGGAAAGUUUUUUCGGUGUAGGAUGAGCUCGCGGCCUAUCAGCUUGUUGGUGGGGUAAUGGCCUACCAAGGCGGCGACGGGUAGCCGGCCUGAGAGGGUGGACAGCCACAUUGGGACUGAGAUACGGCCCAGACUCCUACGGGAGGCAGCAGUGGGGAAUAUUGCACAAUGGGCGCAAGCCUGAUGCAGCGACGCCGCGUGGGGGAUGACGGCCUUCGGGUUGGAAACUCCUUUCGCUAGGGACGAAGCUUUUUGUGACGGUACCUAGAUAAGAAGCACCGGCUAACUACGUG
rnacentral:rRNA from 1 species